UUCCAUUCUCAGAAUGAGAAGAAAUCCUAAGGGAGCAAAAACAACCGGCAUCACUCAAAGCAUGAGAGACUGCUGUCCAUUUGAGAACCUGCUAGCUGUCCGCAUCCAGUGGGGAAGCUGCCAUUCUGGGGCCUGGGGACCCUCGACACCAGCCUAGACUGUGUCUGAGCCAUGGCCCGAGCCUUACCUGAGUCCCAGCUCUGCGUCCGGGAGUUUGCUGAGCAGCAGCCUUCAGCUUUUUCCUAUUCCCUCUGCGCUUGAGAAGAAUCAGGGAUUAAAGAAACAGAGCAAGAAAUUGCCAAGAACUAGCCUAGCAGAAGAUCAGAUAGAGUGAUGGAGAGAAGGGACCCUUCCUCCCAAAACAGCUUGGAACAUCCGGCCUGGUGGGGGCCCAAGAGAGAUGGGUUUCUUAAAACGGUCCUUGAGUGGAGCCCAGAGAGUCACAGAGGGAAGUCUUUGCUGUCUACUGGAACAUUCUCUGUGGCCCCUGUUCUCAUGGAGCUCGAGGGCCAGUGGGAAAGAGGCAGGUGAUCAUCUCCCCGUUUACAGACAAAGAGACUAAGCCCUAACAUCGGGUAAGGUGUCCUGUUGGUCCUUCAGCUGGGGAGUGGUAGAGCUGGGAUCCAAGCUGAUGCCCUUAGCUUGGACACUUCAAAAAAAUAAAG